UAAUCGAAUGUUAUUCGUUUUCGUAUAAUUCUGUGAAUAUGGACAGAAGUUUCUACCCGAAGACCGUAAAUCUUUGGACUACGAGAAUGAUGCUUAAGGAU
rnacentral:ncRNA from 2 species